rnacentral:rRNA from 1 species
UACGUAGGGGCUAGCGUUGUCCGGAUUUACUGGGCGUAAAGGGAGCGUAGGCGGACUUUUAAGUGAGAUGUGAAAUACCCGGGCUCAACUUGGGUGCUGCAUUUCAAACUGGAAGUCUAGAGUGCAGGAGAGGAGAAUGGAAUUCCUAGUGUAGCGGUGAAAUGCGUAGAGAUUAGGAAGAACACCAGUGGCGAAGGCGAUUCUCUGGACUGUAACUGACGCUGAGGCUCGAAAGCGUGGGGAGCAAACAGGAUUAGAUACCCCCGUAGU